rnacentral:rRNA from 1 species
AGAAUCAACGCUGGCGGCGUGCCUAACACAUGCAAGUCGAACGAGAAAGUGGAGCAAUCCAUGAGUAAAGUGGCGCACGGGUGAGUAACACGUGACUAACCUACCCUUGAGUGGGGGAUAACCUAGGGAAACCUGGGCUAAUACCGCAUAACACCUACGGGUCAAAGGAGCAAUUCGCUUUGGGAGGGGGUCGCGGCCGAUUAGUUAGUUGGCGGGGUAAUGGCCCACCAAGACAGUGAUCGGUAU